rnacentral:tRNA from 1 species
GCCUGGGUGGCUCAGUCGGUUAAGCGUCUGACUUUGAAUCAGGUCAUGAUCUUGCAGUUUGAGCCCUGCAUCAGGCU